GGGGAUGUGGCUCAGUGAUAGAGCACUUGCUUAGCAUGCAUGAGGCCCUGGGAUCCAUCCCCAGCACCAUGG
rnacentral:tRNA from 1 species